AGCUGACAAAGGAGCAAGUUGCUCAGUUCCGAGAAGCGGUUUCCAAGGACUACUACUUCCAAAUGUACUACGAUGACUUGCCCAUUUGGGGUUUCAUAGGGAAAGUUGAAAAGGAAGGCAAGAAUGACCCUAGCGAAUACAAAUAUUACCUCCUUAAGCAUCUUCACUUCACCAUCUUUUACAACAAGGAUCGUGUCAUUGAGAUAACUGCACUAUCCGAUCCGAAAAAUGUUGUGGACCUGACUGAAGAUAAGGAAGUUAACGUGGAGUUCAUGUAUUCAGUUAAAUGGAAGGAAACAGAAAUUCCAUAUGAGAAAAGGAUGGAGAAAUAUUCACAAUCUUCUUCACUGCCUCAUCACUUGGAAAUUCAUUGGUUCUCAAUUAUUAACUCAUGCGUGACUGUUCUCCUCUUGACUGGCUUUCUUGCAACAAUUCUCAUGCGAGUCCUGAAGAAUGAUUUUGUCAAGUAAGAACAUGUUAAUGACUUAUGUCGUUAGAACAUCACUAACAUUGUUUAAGCUUUCUGGUUUAUUUAUUUGGUGAUGCUCCCAUUUACAAUAGGUAUGCUCACGAUGAGGAAUCAGCUGAAGACCAAGAAGAGACCGGGUGGAAGUACAUCCAUGGUGAUGUAUUUAGAUAUCCAAAGUAUAAGUCUGUACUUGCGGCAGCAGUUGGCUCUGGCACCCAGCUGUUUACUCUGUAAGUUUAACUUCAAAGCUGUGCGUGUGGGGUUUCUGUCUCAAACCUUUUUUUUAAUUAUUGUAUGUUGCUAAGCAACCUGCUAACUUUGUAUAUAUACAUACUUUGCAGCACAUUUUUCAUUUUCUUACUCGCUCUAGUUGGUGUCUUUUAUCCUUAUAAUCGUGGAGCUCUUUUCACCGCAUUGGUUGUCAUAUAUGCCCUUACAGCUGGGAUUGCUGGCUACACUGCAGCCUCUUUCUUUUGCCAACUGGAAGGAACAAACUGGGUGAGUGAUCAUGGGUUCCUUUUUCACUGCCUCUUGCACACAAUUCUUGGGCAUGCCCAAAGCACUUUUUAUUGAAGCACUUGUUAUUGGUGCACUUGUUAUUGGUGUAUUUCUAUAAGGUUAAUGUUAUCAGAUUCAGUACGCAUACAUAGUGGAAUUGCAGUUUUUUUUAGGAUCUGAUUGGUUUUGUGAUAAGUGCUUUGUGAAAAUUGGUAUAAGCAUGGGUAAGGGGGCUGAAAACCACCUUAUGCUGGGUAAAUUGUUUUCCUUAUGUAUCAUAUCUGAACCCAUUUGAUGCUGCAAAAAAAACCUGUCCUAGAGAAAGAGAAGAGUGUACUUAAAAGUUGAUGGCUUAACGCUGCCUGAAGCCUUGCACUAAAUUUUUAAAAAAGUGAUUUUGAGAAGUCAAUAAACUAAAGAUCAACACUUAGAGAGUCACAUUUAAAUGUAUCACUUUAGGUGCAUUGAAACUGAGUAAUGCUAGACAUGGAUACAAGUACAAUUGAUUAUUUCAUGCUGGUUGUGGUUUCUAUGAAGACUAGCGUGGUUUGCAUUUGUUGGUCUUAUGAUAUUGAUAUAUUAAUUAUUAAUUAUUAUGAUGAUGUAAGUUCUCUUUGGCAUUGAUGGAAUUCCUUGUGAUCCUAGUCUGUAUCAUUGCUGAAUUUCUAGCUUUACUCUAGAAACUACCAUUCAACUUUUGAGACAUGCUAGGCCAAACAGUUCUGAAAUUUUGGUGUGGCAGGUCAGGAACUUGUUGUUAACUGGAAGUCUGUUUUGCGGACCUCUGCUCCUCACGUUCAGCUUUCUUAAUACUGUUGCAAUCACAUAUAGUGCCACUGCAGCAUUGCCUUUUGGAACCAUAGUGGUGAUAUUUCUUAUUUGGGCUUUGGUAACAACACCAUUGUUGGUACUUGGUGGGAUUGCUGGGAAGAAUAGCAAGGCUGAGUUUCAGGCUCCAUGCCGCACCACUAAAUAUCCCAGAGAGAUUCCUUUGUUGCCUUGGUACCGGAAAACACUUCCUCAGAUGGCCAUGGCUGGGUUCUUACCUUUCAGUGCAAUCUAUAUUGAACUUUACUACAUAUUUGCCAGUGUUUGGGGUCACAGGAUCUACACCAUAUACAGCAUCUUGUUCAUUGUCUUCAUCAUUCUCUUGAUUGUCACUGCUUUUAUAACAGUGGCAUUGACAUAUUUCCAACUUGCUGCUGAAGACCAUGAGUGGUGGUGGAGGUAUGUUUUACUGUUAGAUCAUAUGAAGUUCGAGUAUAAACUGUUACUACUUCUGAUUUGCUUUUCCAUUAUUAUAAGCACAAUAAAAUAUCCAAGGUUCACUCACAGAAAGAAAAAAAAAGAGUUCUUUAAUGUUGUUCUUUUCUAACUUUGAGUUAAAUUUUGGCUUUUUUUCAAUGUUUUCUGACUCUUAAGAUCCUUAUCUAAAUUGCUGGAAUAUCCAAGUCAUAAUGUAAUUUUGGCAUUGAUUUAGUCCGCUCCUGGUUUGCUUCUUCUUGUCGACGUGUUUCCUGCAAAAUGCCAUGUUUUAAAAGGAUACAUGAUUGCCUGAUAUAUUUUUCUAUACACUCACUUUUAUAUAUUUGGUGUUUUGCAGGUCUUUCCUCUGUGGUGGAUCAACUGGCUUGUUCAUUUAUGGCUAUUGCUUGUAUUACUACUUUGCAAGAUCAGAUAUGUCCGGCUUCAUGCAAACCUCAUUUUUCUUUGGCUACAUGGCCUGCGUUUGUUAUGGUUUCUUCCUCAUGCUUGGAAGCAUUGGUUUCCGUGCUUCCCUGUUCUUUGUCCGCCAUAUUUACCACUCAAUCAAGUGCGAGUAGGAAGUCACAUAUGGUUUUCCUUGUGUUCAGUGAGUAGGAUCCCUUACUUUCUCUUAGCAGGCUUGAUUGAAGGAAACUCCGCUCUUUUGUAUUGAUGAAGGUAAUCUUCUGUCGUGUCGCAUUAUGUUACAGGAGAAGCAACUGUUGGCUGGGAAAAUGUCUUCUGGGAUUGCAGGAGCCUUUAUUCCACAACUUCGAAGGGAUGACCGCACAUCAAAUGGAGGACUUCUGUAAUAACCUUUUUUUAUAGGAGAGGAACAUAUAGGACCUUAGAAUGCUGUUAAAAGAAUUUGUGGUGCUUAAAUGUGAGCACAUGCCAUCGUUUUGAAUAUAUUCUAGAACUGUAAGAAGCCUUAGAAUUUGUGUUACUGGAAGCAGCACUUUGAACAUUCUUAUUUCCACAAUUUAUUACAGCAGCCAGAUAUAUUUCCCAUCAUUCAUUUAUUUCGGGGGCUGAACUAGAAAACUUGAGCAUGGCGAUGAAACCUGGCCGGUAAUGUUUAAAAAAUAUGCCAGUAAUUAUGUUUUUGCACUGCAUUAAAAUCUUCAGAUUGAACAAAAGCGAGAGGAUUAAAUUAUUUAUUUAUUAUUUCUUUUAUUUUUUUGGAACUGAACUGGAUAACCUUGGUGAGUUUUCUAUGGCGCUUGCAUUAACAGAAAAUCAUGGUCUAUUAGCAAGAUAUUUGCAAUAAGAUGAGAGGACAUGACAGCAAACUUUUGUUGAUGUCUCAGACAACAUUCUUGUCCAGGAGGGGAUGACGUUGGUAGCCUGUCCAUUUCAAUGUAAGCAGUAACAAAUCAGGUCAAGACCAGAUGCAAAUAUCAAUGCCUGCUAAAUCGCUGGAUAUGAAUUUGAUGGAUUCAUUUUGAAUUGAUCGAUUCUGUUGUUGCAUUUAAACCUAACAGUCUUACUAAUCUAGUAUUCUAGAAUUCAUUGGCUCUUCAAUAACAAUGUCGGCCAAAGACUAACUGUAGACUCCACUUGGGAUCCGGUUAAAGAUCCAGGUUGCAAGUCUAUCGAGUGGACAAAUUAACCCUAAUCUAAUAAAAAAAACUUUUAAUUUAUAUUUUUUUAAAAUUUCAAAUAAUAUCAAUUAGAUAAAAUUAAAAAAAAACCCUAAAAUGGUGUCUUCUUGGAUAAAAAAAAUCCUUAAAGUCGACCCAACUAGAUUUUAUCUGAUCAAAUUUUAAUUUGACUAACCUUAUCAUCUAUAUUUAACCGGGUCAAUUUUUAAAAUAAUUUUUUUAAAAAAUAAUUCAAAAUAGAUUUUGACUUGAUAAAUCGUUAAGUCAACUUGUUCUACUAAGAUCAAUUUAAUAACUAUGGUAGUUCAAGUUGUGGACAUGAUGAUUUAGUGUGUAUUUGAUAAUGUAGUAUAAUGUAUUUUUUAAAUGAAAAUAUAUUAAAAUAAUAUUUUUAUCAUAUUUUUUUUACAUUAGCAUGUUAAGACAAUAAAAAAUAUAAAUAAAAAUCAUCAAAUUAAUAUAUAUAUUUUUGAGUGAAUGUCCAUUACAUGGUUGAAUUUGAAUUUUAUAAUUUUAUUUUUUUAAAAUCUAAUGAUAUAAUUUGAAAUGACUUUACAUUAUAAUAUGAAACAUUGGUUACAUUACAAAAAGGAAGAAAAUAUUAUAAUUUAUAUGGAAAAAUUAGGGCAAGUCUUUACGGGUAUUUAAGAGUAGUAAUGGUUUUUUUUUUAAAUGUUUUUUAUUUGAAAAAUAUCAAAAUAAUAUAUAUACAUAUAUAUAUAUAUAUUAAUUUUUAAAAUUUAUUUUCAAUAUCAGCAUAUCAAAAAAAAAAUUAAAUCAUUAAAAAAAAUUAACUUAAAAAUAUAUAUUUUUUAAAAUUUUAACAAAAAAACAUGUUAAAACUCACUCACAUAACAUCACCCUCGUCACCCUCUUCAUCACAUAACAUAACAGCUAAUUAGGUCAUUAGCGUUCUUAACACACAAAGUGAUUUUCUUUUCCUUUCCAGGAAUUUGACCUGACCCCCACGCUUCUUCAACUGCAUGGUGAAAUAACUAUUACAACCACGUAAUGGGAAAGAGAGUUGGAUCAAAGUGAAAGCAAUUUACCACAAAAAAAGACAGCAGAAACCUCAGAAUUAACCAGAGAUUAGAUGAUGGCAUGGCAAUUUUGAUAUCCAGGGUUUGAUGAGUGUGAAGCUAAUAAGCUAUGAUCCUUGGCAUUUAAGCAUUCCCCCACCUUCAUAAUUUGGAGGGUUCCUUGAUUCCUACUCUUCAAUUAGUUCAUGCAUGUAUUUGGGAUCUAUUUCAAAUGAAGUCAAGCUUCUUCUUCUUAAUAAUAAUAAUAAUUAACGUUAAUUCAAGUGCCACCAGCUUAAUAUAUAGUAUUAAAUCUUAUUCUGCGAGUUAGUCCAACAAAUCUAUAAUUUGAAACAUGACUUGAACUUGAUUUUAAUUUGAGCUGGUUUUGAUGUUGACUUAGCCUACUGAAUUGACUCAGCAACUUUGCGAUUCAGAGCUUGACUCGAGCUAGUUUACCUAAUUUAGUUGGUUAAUCUGCUAGAUUCAUGAUUUAAAGCCUAGCUCAAAUCGAGUUUUAGUUUAAACUAGUUUUGAUACUGAUCUGAUUUAAUAAGUUGAUGUAGCAAACUCGUGAUUUAAAAUUUAAAUUGAGUUGGUUUUUAAUUUAGAUUAAUUUUAAUAUUUACCUGGUUAAACUUGGAUUUAACAUCUUACUUACCUAGCAAUCAUUUCAAAACUAAAAAAUUGAAAAAAAAUAAAAUUGAGUGUUUUAAUAUAAUUAUUUUAUAUCGGAACCAGGAAUGAAAUUAUAAAUUUGUAAAUGGUGUUGAAAAAAAUAAAUACAAAAAUACCAAGAUUAAUUUCCAAAUAAGUUAAGAGAUGAACAUUAAAGUAAAAAUAUGAUAUUUUUGGGAUGCCCAAUACUUAAUUAUUUAGAAAAAAAAUCAGACUUAAAAAUUCAAGGUUGAGAAUUUUCAAGAAUAGAAAAAUCAUUAAAACCAAAAUUUAAAUUAAAAAAAAUGACCUUAAUGAGAAGUCAAUUACUCGCCUUGUUAUUGUUAAUUAAAGAAGGCCUCUUUUUGACACGAAGGUUAACCGUUUUAGCGUCUUGAAGUCUUCUUCGAGCCACAGCCUGAAAAGUAUCCAUCUUUAUAACUCUCUCUCUCUCUCUAUCUAUCUCUCAAUGCUCUGUUUAUGAGUUACAGAGAGCGAAAAUGGAGAUGAAACUAGUGUCUUGUUUGGUAGUCUCUAUUUUGAUCCUAUGCAAUGUGACCCGUGUUAGAUCAGAUGCAUCUAAUAAUCGUUACAAAGUAGGUGAUGAUGUCCCUCUUUAUGUUAACAAAGUUGGACCUUUUCACAAUCCCAGGUAAUCCAAUUCUCUGUCUUUUGAUUUUGAUUAGCUCAAGGAUGUCGGUUUUGUGGGUUGUCUUCAAGUUUGUGACUUUUUGAUGAUUUGGGAUGGUGGGGACUGUGGGAUUUGGAUAGAAAUGAAAUUUUGGAUUGGUUUCUUUAAUUGUUGUGGAUCUGAGCUUAUGGUAAAGUGGAUCUGGGUUUGUUUUUCUAAAGAAGAAGAUCAAAGAUUGGAACUUGGACUUGAACAUGAAAAUGUUGUUGAUGUCGGUUAGGUACUAAUUAAGUUGGAAAUCUAACAAUGCUUAAUUGUUGUACAAGGAGCUGGUUAAUUUUGUGUUGGGGAGAUAGUUUAGUGGGAUUCGGGAAUGCAAGUUUUUGGAUAGAGAAAUCUGCAAGCUAGGAAAGGUUGUUUGUAAAAGAACAGAAUAAUGUCUAGAGAUGUAGGAGGUGAUUUGUAUUUCUGUUUUUUUCUUGUGAGGUGGAAAAUUUUAUUUAGGGGCUUAUUUCUUUGUUAAUGCUGAAAAUUAGAUCUCAGUUUUAGAUCCUACAAGCAAUCGAAAGAACUCUUUUCCUUACCCAAAAUUAUGCUGGAAAAUUUAACUAUAUUUUCUGAGUCCACUCUAGAUUACAUGUGUAUUUGCUUUGAUUUAGAAGGCAUGGCUGGUGGUGAGUUGGGUGGUUUGAAUUAGAUAGGAAGCUUAUAAGUUAUAAGUACUCAUAUCAUCCCAAUUUUUUGGUUUUUUAUACUGAGAUUUUAACCGUUGAACUAUGAACUUUUUUAAGUAUUUUUUAAUCAUAAUUGUCUGAUAUUGUUUCUUUCUUGUUCUUUCUGUCAGUGAAACAUACCGGUAUUUCGAUCUUCCUUUCUGUUCAUCAGGUUUGCGUCAAUUUAUAUUAUUCCUACUUUAAUUCUAUAUUUUACUGUGGAAGUUUGCUGAUGUUAUUUAUUACAGGUCCUACAAAGGACAAGAAGGAAGCCCUUGGUGAACUGUUGAACGGGGAUCGUUUAGUGACUGCCCCAUACAAACUUGACUUUUUAAAUGACAAAGACUCUGAAAUUGCUUGCAAAAACAAGCUGACAAAGGAGCAAGUUGCUCAGUUCCGAGAAGCGGUUUCCAAGGACUACUACUUCCAAAUGUACUACGAUGACUUGCCCAUUUGGGGUUUCAUAGGGAAAGUUGAAAAGGAAGGCAAGAAUGACCCUAGCGAAUACAAAUAUUACCUCUUUAAGCAUCUUCACUUCACCAUCUUUUACAACAAGGAUCGUGUCAUUGAGAUAGGCUGCACUAUCCGAUCAGAAAAAUGUUGUGGAGCUGACUGAAAAUAAGGAAGUUAAUGUGGAGUUCAUGUAUUCAGUUAAAUGGAAGGAAAC
rnacentral:lncRNA from 1 species